UACAAAAACAUUUACAAUGACUCUCCGACAUCUGAAUCAGAAGGUUCCUCAGCGAGCCCUGUAAACACUAAACACGCAGAUGAAGAUGCUGUGGAAGCUGAGGGGCGUGAGGUAAAAAGACUCAGAUUUGACAAAGAAAGUGAGAUGGCCAGUCAGACAUCUGUCAGUGAAAUUUCUUCAGUUAUGGUAGAAGGAACAGAAGCAUCAUCGUCAUCUCAGGAUAAAGACAAGGAAAGCAGUUGUACCAGGCAGCGCUGUACAGAAGAGGAUGAAGAAGAGGAUGAAGAGGAAGAAGAAGGUAUUUAGAGACCAUCUGUAAAAGAGUGGAGUAAGGAGAUCCUCAAAUUCUUGUACUUCAUUUUUGCGUGAAAGAAUUUAACAUAAUGGAGGAUGAGGAGGGUUAGAAAUAGCCUGUUGC